GGAAAUAAUAUUCUAGACUGUAUUGUCCGGCUUCCACUAUCUUGAGCCUCCACUUACACCGGAUAUUUUAUUUAGAUCUUAAAAAAAAUUUCAUUCAAAAGUUUCUCGCGUAAUUCCAGUCUUUGAGUAUGGAUUUCGACAGCUCGCUUUUUAAGCUUUAAGAAAAUUUUUAAAGCAGUUUUUCUGUACCUCUUUUUGAAAGGUGUGAAAUACGGCUAGAAAUUUUUAACUCAAAGCCCUUUUAAAAUUUGUUGAGCGAAUGAUAAGCAAAAAAACUCAUCCAACAGGUUUCAAACUGUUUUCCUUGUUUUUUAAUUUCCUUAAACCCCUAUCAAUGUGCACUUAUAUAUACAUCACAGAUGGUAACUGCAUUAAAGGACAAUAUAUUCAAAUGAAUAUAUAUAUUUAACUGAUAACAGCCAAAUCACAAAUUCACCUCGUGAUAAGCAAUAAAAGCUGAGCUUUUACUGAGCACAGCUUAUUAAGAAAUUGUCAAUUUCCAAAAAUUCAGAGGUUUCAUUAUUGAGUUGGUGCUUGAACCAACGUCAGUUGCGAAUUGCGGUGCGAAAUGAAUAUAUAUAUAUACAAAAUGAAUAUAUACCUAGAGCUAUUUCUGAUUGCAUUAAUACUGGCGACAGCGGUCAAAAGUGAGAUUGUGGAGAAUUCCCAGUGCGCUUACUCAAAGCUGAUGAACGAGCAAUGCAGUAGCUACUGCUACAACAUAGUGAAGCCGCUUUUGCAAUACGCUGCUUCUGUUCAUUCGAAAGAAAUACAGUUUGGUGAACUUAAGAACAAAAUCCAAACCCUUGAAGCGACCAUUAAAACAUUGGAAAUUCAACUCGAUAUAUGCAAUGACUUUAAAACAAAUUACUUAACCAGGGAGGAUUUGCUCGCAUCAACGAAGCUCAUACUAGAUACGCUAGGGAAAGACUUAAGUUUGUGUCGGAGCGAAACAGUCAAUUUGCUCACCAAGGUUCAAAAGAGAGAUGCUGAAAUAUCAAGUUUGAAAGUGCAGACUGAAUCGAAUGCAAAUAAGAUAGAAGAACUAGAGAAAUCCAUAAAAUCUCAGAAUA